UACGUAGGGGGCGAGCGUUGUCCGGAAUUACUGGGCGUAAAGGGUGUGUAGGUGGCUGACUAAGUUGGAUGUGAAAUCCCCGGGCUUAACUUGGGGUCUGCAUCCAAAACUGGCCGGCUAGAGUGCAGGAGAGGAAAGCGGAAUUCCUAGUGUAGCGGUGAAAUGCGUAGAUAUUAGGAGGAACACCAGUGGCGAAGGCGGCUUUCUGGACUGUAACUGACACUGAGGCACGAAAGCGUGGGGAG
rnacentral:rRNA from 1 species